ACGAACGCUGGCGGCGUGCUUCACACAUGCAAGUCGAACGGAAAGGCCCUGCUUGCAGGGUACUCGAGUGGCGAACGGGUGAGUAACACGUGGGUGAUCUGCCCUGCACUUCGGGAUAAGCUUGGGAAACUGGGUCUAAUACCGGAUAGGAACCAUCUUUAGUGUGGUGGUUGGAAAGUUUUUUCGGUGUAGGAUGAGCUCGCGGCCUAUCAGCUUGUUGGUGGGGUAAUGGCCUACCAAGGCGGCGACGGGUAGCCGGCCUGAGAGGGUGUACGGCCACAUUGGGACUGAGAUACGGCCCAGACUCCUACGGGAGGCAGCAGUGGGGAAUAUUGCACAAUGGGCGCAAGCCUGAUGCAGCGACGCCGCGUGGGGGAUGAAGGCCUUCGGGUUGUAAACUCCUGUCGCUAGGGACGAAGCUUUGUUGUGACGGUACCUAGAUAAGAAGCACCGGCUAACUACGUG
rnacentral:rRNA from 1 species